GACGAACGCUGGCGGCGUGCCUAAUACAUGCAAGUAGAACGCUGAAGCGAGGCGCUUGCUCUUCUUGGAUGAGUUGCGCACGGGUGUGUAACGCGUAGGUAACCUGCCUUGUAGCGGGGGAUAACUAUUGGAAACGAUAGCUAAUACCGCAUAACAAUGGAUGACACAUGUCAUUUAUUUGAAAGGGGCAAUUGCUCCACUACAAGAUGGACCUGCGUUGUAUUAGCUAGUAGGUGAGGUAACGGCUCACCUAGGCGACGCUACAUAGCCGACCUGAGAGGGUGGGCAGCCACACUGGGACUGUGACACGGCACAGACUCCUUCGGGAGGCAGCCGUAGGGAAUCUUCGGCAAGGGGGGCAACACUGACCGAGCGACGCCGCGUGAGUGAAGAAGGUUGUCGGGUCGUAAAGCUCGGUUGUAAGUCAAGAACGAGUGUGAGAGUGGAAAGUUCACACUGUGACGGUAGCGUAUCAGAAAGGGACGGCUAACUACGUG
rnacentral:rRNA from 1 species